rnacentral:sRNA from 2 species
UUUUAACAAUUUAACAGUUUUGCGUUUGGAAGUGAGGUUUAAUUCCUCCACUGUGCCGCAACGGUAAUCUCCUCCGACUCUGGUCGGGAGAGGAGUCCGGUCGUUACGCAAAGCAUGUGUCCCGAGCAGGAUAUUCGAAAGGUAAAAAUUCUGCUCCGC